GAUGAACGCUGACAGAAUGCUUAACACAUGCAAGUCAACUUGAACUUCGGUUUGGGUGGCGGACGGGUGAGUAACGCGUAAAGAACUUGCCUCACAGUUAGGGACAACAUUUGGAAACGAAUGCUAAUACCUGAUAUUAUGAUUUUAGGGCAUCCUAGAAUUAUGAAAGCUAUAUGCGCUGUGAGAGAGCUUUGCGUCCCAUUAGCUAGUUGGAGAGGUAACGGCUCACCAAGGCGAUGAUGGGUAGCCGGCCUGAGGGGGUGAACGGCCACAAGGGGACUGAGACACGGCCCGUACUCCUACGGGAGGCAGCAGUGGGGAAUAUUGGACAAUGGACCAAGAGUCUGAUCCAGCAAUUCUGUGUGCACGAUGAAGUUUUUCGGAAUGUAAAGUGCUUUCAGUUGGGAAGAAAAAAAUGACGAUACCAACAGAAGGAGUGACGGCUAAAUACGUG
rnacentral:rRNA from 1 species